CGCAGCAGCCAUAUCACCCUGCCGCUCCCAGCUCCCAGCUGGCAGCCCACUGAAGCCCAGCAGGUGUGAGCCUGGUCAGUACCUGGAUGGGAGACUCCUGGGAAAAACUAAGGUUGCUGCUGGAA
rfam:Lepisosteus oculatus linkage group LG22, whole genome shotgun sequence.